AUACCAACCUGUUCACGGUCGUACAAGGGGAGCUGACCGUGCCAGAGGAAGCGCUUAAGCAUGAGAAAUUCACCAGUGGACUGCAGCUCAGCAAAAAGCCCAAUAAUGAAACCACUGCCCCGACCGCUACACCCAGAUCUCCAGCUAAGUCUCCCAUGAAGGCUCUUAAGUCGUCUGGUAGCAGCGCCCAGAGGCCACUUGAUGGGGCCGCUUCCUCUAAAGAGUCAUCAGCAAAACCCGCAGACGCUCAGAAACCAGACGACAAGAUGGGAGGGGACAUUGCCGCUUUGCAUCGUGGGACACCGCUGUACGGACAACCGUCUUGGUGGGGAGACGGGGAUGCAGACGAUGAAAACUCUUUCAAACAAGAAACAAAAUCCUCCAGUAAAAAACAUGACGGCUCAGUGUCAGGUUUGUCCUCCUCAGUGACUCUC
ensembl:lncRNA